GAGCUUAUAACUCAGUGGUAGAGUGCUCGCCUGAUAAGCGUGAAGUCGGUAGUUCGAACCUACCUAAGCUCA
rnacentral:tRNA from 1 species